GACGAACGCUGGCGGCGUGCUUAACACAUGCAAGUCGAACGGAAAGGCCCUGCUUGCAGGGUACUCGAGUGGCGAACGGGUGAGUAACACGUGGGUGAUCUGCCCUGCACUUCGGGAUAAGCCUGGGAAACUGGGUCUAAUACCGGAUAGGAGCCAUUUUUAGUGUGAUGGUUGGAAAGUUUUUUCGGUGUAGGAUGAGCUCGCGGCCUAUCAGCUUGUUGGUGGGGUAAUGGCCUACCAAGGCGGCGACGGGUAGCCGGCCUGAGAGGGUGGACGGCCACAUUGGGACUGAGAUACGGCCCAGACUCCUACGGGAGGCAGCAGUGGGGAAUAUUGCACAAUGGGCGCAAGCCUGAUGCAGCGACGCCGCGUGGGGGAUGACGGCCUUCGGGUUGUAAACUCCUUUCGCUAGGGACGAAGCUUUUCGUGACGGUACCUAGAUAAGAAGCACCGGCUAACUACGUG
rnacentral:rRNA from 1 species